AACGUAGGAGGCGAGCGUUAUCCGGAUUUACUGGGCGUAAAGGGCAAGUAGGCGGUGGUCAAAGUUGGGCGUGACAGAUCCUGGCUUAACUGGGAGAGGUCGUUCAAAACUAGAUCACUAGAGGGCAGGAGAGGGGAGCGGAAUUCCUAGUGUAGCGGUGGAAUGCUCAGAUAUUAGGAAGAACACCAGUGGCGAAAGCGGCUUUCUGGCCUGCACCUGACGCUAAGGGGCGAAAGCUAGGGGAGCGAACGGG
rnacentral:rRNA from 1 species